UGAUAUGGAUGAUUUUGAUUGAUUAAGU
rnacentral:piRNA from 2 species